rnacentral:rRNA from 1 species
UACAGAGGGUGCAAGCGUUGUUCGGAAUUAUUGGGCGUAAAGCGCGUGUAGGCGGCUUUGCAAGUCGGGUGUGAAAGCCCUCAGCUCAACUGAGGAAGUGCGCCCGAAACUGCAGAGCUUGAGUGCCGGAGAGGGUGGCGGAAUUCCCCAAGUAGAGGUGAAAUUCGUAGAUAUGGGGAGGAACACCGGUGGCGAAGGCGGCCACCUGGAC